GUUGGAAUGAGUAUAUGUUGUCUUAGUCAUAUUGGACCCGAAGGCAGUUGUCGCCAUUGGAGUGGGAGCAGGAGCAGGAGCUUUAGUUGCUGCGGUCGGGGUUCCUUUUGUUCUGGGAGCCAUAGGUUUCACC